GGGAGUGAAAUAGAACCUGAAACCCUGCACUUACAAGCUGUGGAAGCACAUUUCUUGUGUGACCGCGUACUUUUUGUAGAACGGGCCAACGAGUUACGUUAAGUAGCAAGGUUAAGCACUUAAGGUGUGGAGCCGUAGCGAAAGCGAGUUUUAACUGAGCGUUCAGUUACUUGACGUAGACCCGAAACCGGGCGACCUACCCAUGAGCAGGAUGAAGCGAAAGUAAAAUUUCGUGGAGGUCCGAACCCACGAGCGUUGAAAAGCUCGGGGAUGACUUGUGGGUAGCGGUGAAAUUCCAAUCGAGCCCGGAGAUAGCUGGUUCUCCCCGAAAUAGCUUUAGGGCUAGCCUCAAGGUGAGAGA
rnacentral:rRNA from 1 species